GAAAGUUGCCAUAUUCUUAUGAAAUAACUCUGUUAACAGGCAAGGUUGCCACCCUGCCCUAUUAAUCAAAUAACAUUAAGAUAAUAGGCAAUGUUGCCACCUAGUCUUAAGUCUAUAACAUUUGCAUAUGUUGCUCAAAUAGUAAUGAAGCAAAUAAAGAAGGCGAGCUGCGGCUAACAUUAGACGCUAGCAAACCCCCAUAGUGUACAGAUGUGCACAAACUUUAAAAAAAACUUAAAAAAACAACUUAAAAAAACUUUAAAACAACUUAAAAAAAAACAACAUAAAAAAAAAAACUUAAAACAACUUAAAAAAAAACAACUUAAAAAAUAAAAAGUCAUCGUGUGUAUAUGUUCUAUGUCGUUUUGCAGCGUGCAAAAUAUAUGUGAACCUGACGCGCGUGUCAAUCUUUUCAUACCGCCAGAACAAUGUACUGUGCACUGGUAUUCCCAAGUACCUGUGUAACAGCGUAUAUGUUACUAAAACGUUAAUAAAUUGUACUGUCCUAUGUACGAUCAUUUGGUGAUUCUUCUAUUGCUGAUGAAACCUCGUUUUAAAUUUUACAAUAAUCCACACGCCAAGAUGUCGGAAUAUUCAAGAUGGCCGACCCAGCAACUAAAUGGACUGACAAAGCCCUCGACAACAAAAUAAAAACCGAACUGAUCUACAAACUCGUUAAUCGUCCCUACUAUAUACUAAAUUGUCCACUACUCUAAACAAAUUGGAAAAUUCGAUCUUGGGGGUGCUCGCGACACCCAUUACAUAACCCCUCAAAAAUGCAAUUAAGCCUCAGCAAAAACUACAACAACAAAAACACGCCACUCGCUCCCGCCAAAAGUGAUGUCUCGAAGCAACAACUCUAACCACUCCAGCCAAAUGCAAUGACAUGCAAGAAACUAGUAUGACGUCACUACAGCAGACAUUUUACAUAACCAACAAACAUGGCGCAUUCGCAUCGCACUGAACAGCACACUGGCCGGAUAUUGAAGACCUAGAAAUUGAAUUGCCUAUUGCUCUAAACAACCUCGAAAACUUAAUCAUGGGUGCUCGUGCCACCCAUUAUAAAAUCUCUCAACUAAGUCAUUAUGCCUCAGCAAAUACUACAACAACAAAAAGAUGCCACUCGCUCCCGCCAAAAGUGAUGUCUCACAGCAACAAAUCUAACCUCUUCAGUCAAAUAAAACAAUAAGUUUGUAAGAAUACAUGCAAGAAACAAGAAUGACGUCACUGAAGCAGACAUUUAUAAAGAACGAACAAACAUGGCGUUCUUCAUUGCCCUGAACAACAUAAUGGCCAGCCUUAGCUCAGUGGUUUAGAUUGACAAUAUUAAGGCGCAAUGCCAUUGCAACUCACGGUAAAAUCCACGCCCGAAUAUAAAACUAUUAAUUACUCUCUUUUACAGGGACCUACAUCCCUGCAACAAGCUACUUAGACUCAACUGAGACGUACGGCUAUUGAUUAGUCAUCACCUGUGCACUCAAUGGUAUGCACAAACCCGCCUGCAAAUGCAACGAAACCAAUGAACUCAUCCUACACGCCCAUAACACCCGCCACACAUGCCAUUACACAAAACACCUCAGCUACUCACGAGCCUAUGGAAUCAAUGCAGCUACACCAUAGCCUACCUGCGUGGAACGCAUACCUGUGAGCGCGUGUGGGAGUGCCUGUAUUUGCUUGUGGAAUGAAUCCCUGCCACACAGCCAACCUACGCGAUCGCCUUGAGUGUGUUUCUUGCUGGCCGGCGGCUCUUUGUUUGCAUAGCAUCUCCCUCGCAUCUACAACACGCUUUAACCAGCACCCACGCACAAUAAGUUAUCACAUCUACAACACCUCGGACUCCUGAGCCAACUAACUUCAACUCAGCAAAUACUAUACCCGCACCUACGCGCAUAUAAGAGCUGAGAGUGGAGUGGUGCGUACCUUAUUGACGGACUGCCCUGGCGGCGCAGAGCGCAUAUGCAACCGCAAUCCAUUCUGUUCCAGCAUCCCUGCCUCCAUGGCCUGCCAGUGCGCAUCAUGGAGAUCGUGCCCUGCCGGAUGAAGCUCUGCCUUAUGCCAAUGGCAUCGAGCACAUCAACAACUCCUAGGUCACCUGAGCCAACUAAUUUCAACACAGCAACUACUAUACCCGCAACAGCAACCCAUGCGCAUAUUAGAGCUGAUAGUGGAGUGGCACGCAUCUAAUUGCAGGCUUGUCUUGGCAGUGCUGAGCGCAUAUGCAUCCACAACUCAUUGUGUGCCUGCAUCCCUGCCUCCAUAGCCUGCCAGUGCACUUGCUGGAGAUCGUGCCUCGCCGGAUGAAGCCCUGCCUUAUGCCAAUUGCACUGCACACGCUACAACUUAACACCAACGCAGAUACCACACGCAGAACAACGCAGUAAACUCGGACCCCGGAAUCUCCAGAUAACAACCCACACACACGCACAACAAGUCAACACAUCAACAACAACUCGGAAAACUGAGCCCACUAACUUCAACACAGCAACUACUUUUUUGCAACAGCAACCCAUGUGCAUAUUAGAGCUGAGAAUGGACUGGCGCGUAUCUUACUGCCGGAUUGUCCUGACAGUGCUGAGCGCACAUGUAAUCACAAUCCAUUGUAGCUAGCAUCCCUGCCUCCAAAGUCUGCCAGUGCACUUUCUGGUGAUCGUGCCUCUUCGGUUGAAGUUCUGCCAUAUGCCAACUGCUUCGCGUACAUUGCAACUAAACAUCAACGCAGAUACCACACGGACUCUGGGAUCUCAAGAUGACAACCCAGUCAUCACAUCAUUAAUUCAUCACAAUCAAAUUUUCAUUCUACUUUAAACUCAUUGUUUGUAAACACUAAUGUUGCCACAUCGUCCAUAAGACACAACCAUACAUGUAACAAUUCACUCUCCAGCCAUCUCGAACACAUUCACACCGCCAGCCCGGACUUGAAACUCCAGAUCAUCAAAAACUUAUCACCCACGCAUCAUCGGAAACCACUCCUCGUUAAAUUAAUAUAAAUUAAUCAUAUUUUGCCUAA